rnacentral:rRNA from 1 species
GAUGAACGCUGGCGGCGUGCCUAAUACAUGCAAGUCGAGCGAACAGACGAGGAGCUUGCUCCUCUGACGUUAGCGGCGGACGGGUGAGUAACACGUGGAUAACCUACCUAUAAGACUGGGAUAACUUCGGGAAACCGGAGCUAAUACCGGAUAAUAUAUUGAACCGCAUGGUUCAAUAGUGACAGACGGUUUUGCUGUCACUUAUAGAUGGAUCCGCGCCGCAUUAGCUAGUUGGUAAGGUAACGGCUUACCAAGGCAACGAUGCGUAGCCGACCUGAGAGGGUGAUCGGCCACACUGGAACUGAGACACGGUCCAGACUCCUACGGGAGGCAGCAGUAGGGAAUCUGCCGCAAUGGGCGAAAGCCUGACGGAGCAACGCCGCGUGAGUGAUGAAGGUCUUCGGAUCGUAAAACUCUGUUAUUAGGGAAGAACAAAUGUGUAAGUAACUAUGCACGUCUUGACGGUACCUAAUCAGAAAGCCACGGCUAACUACGUG